GUGUUGGUCUUAUAGUGGUGAGCAUAGCUGCCUUCCAAGCAGUUGACCCGGGUUCGAUUCCCGGCCAACGCA
rnacentral:tRNA from 1 species